rnacentral:rRNA from 1 species
UGGGGGAAUAUUGGGGCAAUGGGCGCAAGCCUGACCCAGCAACGCCGCGUGAAGGAAGAAGGCUUUCGGGUUGUAAACUUCUUUUAAGAGGGAAGAGCAGAAGACUGUACCUCUAGAACAAGCCACGGCUAACUACGUGCCAGCAGCCGCGGUAAUACGUAGGUGGCAAGCGUUGUCCGGAUUUACUGGGUGUAAAGGGCGUGUAGCCGGGGAGACAAGUCAGAUGUGAAAUCUGGAGGCUCAACCUCCAAACUGCAUUUGAAACUGUUUCUCUUGAGUAUCGGAGAGGUAAUCGGAAUUCCUAGUGUAGCGGUGAAAUAGCGUAG